UACGAAGGGUGCAAGCGUUAAUCGGAAUUACUGGGCGUAAAGCGUGCGUAGGCGGUCUUUUAAGUCUGCUGUGAAAUCCCCGGGCUCAACCUGGGAAUGGCAGUGGAUACUGGGAGGCUAGAGUGUGUCAGAGGAUGGUGGAAUUCCCGGUGUAGCGGUGAAAUGCGUAGAGAUCGGGAGGAACAUCAGUGGCGAAGGCGGCCAUCUGGUACAACACUGACGCUGAGGCACGAAAGCGUGGGGAGCAAACAGG
rnacentral:rRNA from 1 species